rnacentral:snRNA from 1 species
AGCUUUGCACAGUGGCAGUAUCGUAGCCAAUGAGGUUUAUCCGAGGUGCAAUUAUUGCUAAACUUUUCUCUUUUUC